UGAGUAACACGUGGGAAACCUACCUCUUAGCAGGGGAUAACAUUUGGAAACAGAUGCUAAUACCGUAUAACAAUGACAACCGCAUGGUUGUUAUUUAAAAGAUGGUUCUGCUAUCACUAAGAGAUGGUCCCGCGGUGCAUUAGCUAGUUGGUAAGGUAAUGGCUUACCAAGGCGAUGAUGCAUAGCCGAGUUGAGAGACUGAUCGGCCACAAUGGGACUGAGACACGGCCCAUACUCCUACGGGAGGCAGCAGUAGGGAAUCUUCCACAAUGGGCGAAAGCCUGAUGGAGCAACGCCGCGUGUGUGAUGAAGGGUUUCGGCUCGUAAAACACUGUUGUAAGAGAAGAAUGACAUUGAGAGUAACUGUUCAAUGUGUGACGGUAUCUUACCAGAAAGGAACGGCUAAAUACGUGCCAGCAGCCGCGGUAAUACGUAUGUUCCAAGCGUUAUCCGGAUUU
rnacentral:rRNA from 1 species